GACACUCCUCAGGUCCCAGAACGGCCGCUCUAUUAAUUUGUCUUUGCCCUGGAAAUGUAUAGAUAAAACCAGGAAGACAAAAAUAAUGUAUACUUUUCAAGAGAUCUUUCCCGGGCAAAUAUAGGUCUCUCAAAUGCCCCCGACCUUAAGUCCUGGAGACCAGGAAGAGACUUGCUUUCUGAGCUAGAAGGAUACUUGGAAAAUACCGAGUCCUCACUCAGAAAAUACCGAGUCCUCACUCAGCUAAAAGGGAAGUUCCUGGGCUUUGCUCCAAAGCUGCCCCGGAAUGUUUUGGUUGGUUUGGAGAAAAGCUGUGGCGUCUACACCACUUGUUCCAAGCAGGCGGCCCCCUGGUGGCUAACUGGGGGUGAAAAAGCUGGCCAGUGAGGAGGAAGUCUGGCGCAGGUAGAAGAUUCUGAGGCCCUGGGCGGGAACUAGUAAGCCACAAUCUGGAAGAGUCUUUUAUCACCAUGUGGAGACCUAGAGCAU
rnacentral:lncRNA from 1 species